UAUGUAAUUUAACAAGGGACUCACAUCUCCGGGAAACAUUGAUUUUUAUUGUAUAAAGAGUUGUAGCCCUAAAUUUCUUUCACAUAGAGGGAGCUGCAGUAGGGUCAAAACAAGGCAGUAACAGCCUGUUCAGGAGUCUCUCUCAGUUAGGCCAAAUGGACACAAUGUCCAUCUGCCUAUAGUCCACUGUUUAUAAGACAUCUAUAGAAAGUCUGACCCUGUGCAUCUUCUAGCUGUCUCAGCAGACUCUCCUUUCUUACCAGGGCAUUGAGGCUGACACAGCGAGACGUCAGGCCGGCAGAGGACAUUGUGUAUGUAGGUCACCCAGCGACCUGUGUCGUAUCGUGUGACAGCCACAGCGGUCAUUGUCCCUGUGCUGUAGUGCCGGCCGCCCAGCGGGAGGUGGGAUAGGGAUUAGAGUGGACAGACCACAGUGGGGCUGAGCACAGAGGCCCCCAACACGUCAGCAUGAACUUUCUCAUUUCCUCCCUUAACGACUUUGACAUCAGGCCAGGCAGUGCAAUGUCCAGCCGCAUUACUCUCACCGGGCUUACAUUAUUCAGAAUGGCCGGAAUGGUGAAGGGAUACUGUAAGAGGCAGUGCUAGGGUUCAGAUGACUGGAGAGACAACAUGGUGAAGGGAAAGGAGGCAGUACUAGGGUUCAGAUGACUGGAGAGACAACAUGGUGAAGGGAUAGGAGGCAGUACUAGGGUUCAGAUGACUGGAGAGACAACAUGGUGAAGGGAUAGGAGGCAGUACUAGGGUUCAGAUGACUGGAGAGACAACAUGGUGAAGGGAUAGGAGGCAGUACUAGGGUUCAGAUGACUAGAGAGACAACAGGAGGCAGUACUAGGGUUCAAAUGACUGGAGAGACAACAUGGUGAAGGGAUAGGAGGCAGUACUAGGGUUCAGAUGACUGGAGAGACAACAUGGUGAAGGGAUAGGAGGCAGUACUAGGGUUCAGAUGACUGGAGAGAACAUGGUGAAGGGAUAGGAGGCAGUACUAGGGUUCAGAUGACUGGAGAGACAACAUGGUGAAGGGAUAGGAGGCAGUACUAGGGU